GUUAUUUUUAUGUAACCCUUUCAGGAGAAUAUGAGAAAGGUGUAGACCAUCUGACAAACGCAAUUGCUGUGUGUGGACAGCCGCAGCAGUUGCUGCAAGUGUUACAGCAGACUCUCCCACCACCGGUGUUCCAGAUGCUUCUGACCAAGCUUCCAACAAUUAGUCAGAGAAUUGUAAGUGCUCAGAGCUUGGCUGAAGAUGAUGUGGAAUGAGAAAAUGUCAACAUAAUCUCAAUUAAAAAUAUUUUUAAAAUCUUAAGUUGGAAGAUGAGCAGCUCUGGGGGGAAAAGGGCAAAUAGGCUUGUUAUGGACUGUCCUACACUGAAAUCUACCAAAGUUAAUUUUUACUUUGUGUAGAUCCAUUUGUCUGUUUUAUUUAUUUUUCCCAGUGAAAAGUGUAUUUUGAUAGAAAGCUUUUCAUUUUAUAAAUACACUAUGAGUUACCAAAAUAUCAUGGAUUUAUUUUAUUCCGAAAACGUGCAAUUAAAGUGUACAUAUAACAUCACAUUACUUAUGUUAGAAAUACUCAGUGCUUAGUUUUGAAAGAUAAGCAGAAAAAGUAUAGGAGAAAGCUGAAGAAUGCACGUUUUUUUAAGCUAGUACAUUUGCUCUACAUUAAAGAAUUCGAUGGAAUCUUUAUCAAAACUGAGCAUUAAAAUCUUUGAGAGAUUACUUUUUUCCAUUUAAUCUCUUAAAUAUGAUGUGAGAAGUGCUGCUGUGCUGUAUUAAUUCACCUCCUCCCUGUGUAUUUGUCAUUUUAAUCGGUGGGCUUAAUGUGUUCUGGAUAUUUAUCGUAUUUUAGAUGUAUGUAGUAAAUAGCACCGGGAAUUAAAUCUAUGUACAUCCUUAAUCUAGCCAUGUGAGCCUCACUAAUUACUGUCUACCCUCUUUCCUCACUUAAAAAAUGAGGGAAUUGGUUUGCUAACUCAGAGAAGUGUCCCUUUCAGCUUUUAAUUAAUUUGUUUCUGUUACGCAUCUUUAAAACCACCUUCUCCUGAGGGAUAUAUUUGUUUGGACAACCAGGCCUUGCAUUUUUUAUACUCUGAAGUUUGCAUGCUUGCCUGACUUAGUAUUUCUGAAUUGAUUGUCCCACCCCCACCCCUUUUUUUAAAGAUCUAACUUGUGUUGGUUUUCACUGAAAUCAUGCAGUUCUGUCAUUACUCUUGUAAAUCUGAAACUUAACCUUUAGGGUAACUGGGAUAAACUUGUAAAAUGUUUGUUCCCCUUUGCUUUUAUCUUCAGUGUAUCUCCUCAGUCCUCUUUCAAUCUGAUUCAUUUAACUCGUUAUGAUGAGAAUAAGGUAUAACCUUGUGGCUGAAGACUUGGAGAGAAUGAAAGUGUUCUCAAAAUAGUGACAUGUUAUCUGCAGUCACAGGUUGAACAUUAGGUCUGAGAAUAAAGAUCCUUGGUACGUACUUGUCA